rnacentral:rRNA from 1 species
UGACGCUGAGGCGCGAAAGUGUGGGGAGCAAACAGGAUUAGAUACCCUGGUAGUCCACACUGUAAACGAUGAAUGCUAGGUGUAGGGGGUAUCGACCCCUUCUGUGCCGCAGUAAACACAAUAAGCAUUCCGCCUGGGGAGUACGGCCGCAAGGUUGAAACUCAAAGGAAUUGACGGGGGCCCGCGCAAGCAGCGGAGCAUGUGGUUUAAUUCGACGCAACGCGAAGAACCUUACCAGGUCUUGACAUCCAGUAAAAGCCAUAGAGAUAUGGUGUGAGCUUACUCGUACUGAGACAGGUGGUGCAUGGUUGUCGUCAGCUCGUGUCGUGAGAUGUUGGGUUAAGUCCCGCAACGAGCGCAACCCUUAUUUUCAGUUACUAACGCGUAGAGGCGAGGACUCUGAAGAGACUGCCGGGGACAACUCGGAGGAAGGUGGGGACGACGUCAAAUCAUCAUGCCCCUUAUGACCUGGGCUACACACGUGCUACAAUGGCCACCACAGAGAGGUGCGAACCCGCAAGGGGGAGCGGAUCUCAAAAAAGUGGUCCCAGUUCGGAUUGUGGGCUGCAACCCGCCCACAUGAAGUCGGAGUGCUAGUAAU